UACAGAGGUGGCAAGCGUUGUUCGGAAUUACUGGGCGUAAAGGGCGCGUAGGCGGCCUUCUAAGUCAGACGUGAAAUCCCCAGGCUUAACCGGGGAACUGCGUCUGAUACUGGAUGGCUUGAAUCCGGAAGAGGGAUGCGGAAUUCCAGGUGUAGCGGUGAAAUGCGUAGAUAUCUGGAGGAACACCGGUGGCGAAGGCGGCAUCCUGGGUCGGCAUUGACGCUGAGGAGCGAAAGCCAGGGGAGCAAACGGG
rnacentral:rRNA from 1 species